rnacentral:misc_RNA from 1 species
AGCGACAGCUUCGGCGUAGCGGCGAAAGCAAGAAAUCGUGGCAAGCAGACAUUCGGCCCUUAACGUUUUGUCGGCUACGAAACGUGACGUUUCAUGGGUUCCGACGGUAGCAAUGUGGUGAGCCAGCCUUUCUGAAAUGCAUUUCUCGUGCAGUUUCAGGAAAUGUUAAUGCAGCCCUACCAAGCGUUUCAAGAAGUCCAAUGCCAACAGCAAAACUGCCGUCGUCUGAAGCGCCGUGCGUGUGCCGCAGUGUCGAGCUAAUCAGCCGUGUCCCCGCGUCUCGCAAGGUGGGAUCCAUUCAUUCAUUCGUUGACCGGCUGGAACCUCGAUAAAGGCGCCAUGUGCUAGCGACAAACAUGAAACUACAAGCGAAUGGCGCGCCAAAAAACGGCCAACCCCAGCAGCAUCCACCGCAUUACUACCCUGAACUGCCGACAGAGGUUGAGGAGCGACUAGAGAAGCUUUUCAGAAAGUUAGACGUCAACGAAGAUGGUCGAAUUGACAUCACUGAUCUUACCACUGGCUUGCGCAAACUGGGACUACCGCAUUCACCUGGAAGUGUAGAGAAGUUCAUAACGGUAUCAGACACUGGAAAGGAUGGCACUGUGGAUUUUGCAGAGUUUGUGCACUACAUCAUAGAACACGAAAAGAAUUUGAUGGUGGUUUUUAAAAGCCUUGAUGCAAACAGUGAUGGCUCACUUGAUGCAAAUGAAAUCAGGACAUCAUUCCAGAAGCUUGGAAUUCAAAUUGAUUAUGAUGAAGCCAUGCGACUCCUAAAACGAAUGGACAAGGAUGGCUCUUUGACCAUUAACUUUGAAGAAUGGCGUGACUAUCUGCUCUUUCACCCUAGCUCAGAAAUUCAUGAUAUAAUUCAUCACUGGAGACAUGCUACAUUUGUAGAUCUUGGGGAAGACUCCUUGGUGCCAGACGACUUCACUGAGGAAGAGAUACACACAGGCAUGUGGUGGCGCCAUUUGGUUGCUGGGGGAGUUGCCGGUGCAGUGUCCCGAACAUGUACAGCCCCUCUAGACCGCCUCAAAGUCUUUCUCCAGGUUCGAGGUACCGAGUUCCAGUCUAUCCAACAGUGCUUACGGCACAUGUUGCAAGAAGGGGGCAUACAGUCCCUGUGGCGUGGCAAUGGCAUCAAUGUUAUCAAGAUAGCUCCGGAAAGCGCACUCAAGUUUCUUGCCUACGAAAAGGCAAAGCGGCUGAUCAAGGGCGACUCAAACCGUGAUCUGGGUAUCUUUGAACGUUUUUUUGCGGGUUCCCUUGCUGGGAGCAUCGCCCAAACAAGUAUCUACCCUAUGGAGGUGCUGAAAACCCGUUUGGCAUUACGCAAGACUGGCCAGUACAAGGGAAUAGUAGAUGCAGCCUGCCAAAUCUACCAGAAAGAAGGCUUGCGCAGCUUCUACAAGGGCUACCUACCAAACCUCCUUGGCAUCAUUCCCUACGCUGGCAUUGACCUUGCCAUCUAUGAGGCACUGGAAAUACAAUUGAAGAUGUGGAUCCUAUGCUGCUCCCCUUCCCCAUCUCCCACAUCGCAGUGCAUGUUGACAUCAACACGCUCAAGAAGCUGUACCUACGCCGGCAUGACCUGACGGAUGAUCCUGGCAUCCUUGUGCUUCUAGGCUGUGGCACUGUGAGCAGCUCCUGUGGGCAAAUUGCCAGCUAUCCAUUGGCCCUUGUAAGGACCAGGCUGCAAGCACAAGAUGGAAAACACGAGCGGACCUCCAUGAUUGGACUCAUCAAAGGCAUCGUCCGCACUGAAGGCUUCAGUGGCCUUUAUCGUGGCAUCACUCCAAACUUCAUGAAAGUGGCUCCUGCUGUCAGCAUUAGCUAUGUUGUUUAUGAACACUCGCGUAGAGCCUUGGGUGUCACAAUGACAUGAGAACUUGUCUUUAUUUAGAGAUAUGUUGAAGCAGAUGGUAUCUUUUCAAUUUUGCUGUCAAUCUGCUUGGAGCAGAAUUGUCUGUGCUUAAAGUGCAGCUGUCUUACUAGCAAGAAGAGUAUGGCACUUAUCAUGCAAGUUUUAUUUGAUUUGUACAAUGUGGCUUGUUAUCUAUUAAUCGCUGUGUGCUUGUUUCUUUAGACCACCUAAUUCUCCAGAGCAAAGCGUGGCUUUUGUGGCAGUUGGAAAAUUCCAGCAUCAUAGUGCAUUGCUAAUGUUGCACCCAAAGUCAUGCAACUUUUGCCUGAACAGAGGGAGAGAGUCCCAUAUUGCUUUGGUGAGGCUUGCCCAUUAUUUAGGAAUAUUGUAAAGGGAACCACACAAGGGGUGCAUAGGGAAGGUUCAUGCAGCCUUUGCAUAUAUACACAUAUUUCCAAUGUCACCUAUUACUAGGUGUGCAUUGAUGUACUCUUGUUGAACCGGUGAUUUUGAUUUUAACGAAGUGCCCUGUCUUGGCAAGCUUGUUAUUUAAUCUUAAAGCUAAGACUUGUGCGUAACAGCUUGAGAGGAACUGUUGACUAGCCACUUCCAUCCUUUUUUUAUUUCAUUUCUGUCACAUGCAAGGCUAAGCUUUGAUGCACAUCACUGUGAUAAUGUAAGGGUCUGCAUCCAAGCUUGCACCAGUACAGUUGUUCAUGUUUUUUCGAGCUUUUGCAUCCUGCUGUCGAUGCAGGGCAAAUGUCUGCAGGUGAGAAAUAUGUAGUUUAGUUCUGUACAUACAAUCUUUAUUUUCUCUGUUUGAAUUAACUGUCAGAGAGAACUGCAAGCAGAUGUUGCAUGUCUAGGCAGUUAUACCCCAGGGUUCUAUAUUUCUCUAGAGAUUAUCAAAGUUAGUUUGGGCAUUUGCGAAGUAUGGUCAGUUUUUGAUGCUGCAGAAGCUAUAUUAUUUAUUUUUGAGCAGUGUACAGCCUUGCCUCAAGUGUGGACUGAAUAUUGCAAAUACCUAGACUAUGGCAAGACAUUGCCCUUUUCAUACUUUGCAAUACCUGAGUGCACUUAACAUAAAAGUAUGCUCUUGCAUGGUAACAUGUCUCUAUAAGUAAGCAACUUUUUGAUGCUACAGCUGCACUACUGAAGUCACCUUUCAAUUUCGAAUGUUCUCUGUUAUUCAUUCCAGAACUGUCUCAGUGCUGCUACUAAGACGAAGAAAGUAAUUGUUGAUUUCCAAAAUUUGGAAACUGCACUGAUGUUUCUCUUCCACUUUGCAUGCACCUUCAUCAAGACAAUGCUUGGCUGUAUGAGCUCAUUUCCUUAACAGGCUUGUGGCAUUCUGGCCAAGUGUUGCCAGUUCUAUGAACUAUGAACUUUCGUCAUUUUUCUAGACCACUGUACAUUUCAGCAAUGAAUAAAGGUACUUCAUUUCUCUUUUGAACAAAA